rnacentral:lncRNA from 1 species
UGAAGCGAUGAAUAUGAACAGUAAAUUAAAGGAACUGCCGGUCUGUAACCCUCUUAACAAAAGCAACAGCAACUCAAUAUAAUAUUUAAGAGCAAAUGACUACAAAAGGAGGACUGGAAUUAAAUAAACUGAAGAGAAUGUUCAAAAUGACUACAACGGAAAUGAAAGGAAAUACACAACAAGAAAGCUGAAAUAAAUUCUUCUCCAAGCUAGCUAUUCACUCUCUCUUCCUCUGCAUAUAAAGCCUGACCACCUUUCACCUGCCACGUGUCACCGACUGAUUGGGCGUGUGAUCCCAUGAAGAUUCUACCGUUAUAGCAAGCACAUUCCAUUCACGUGCUUAGCUAUCAUAUACUGUAUUAAAUAUCAUACGACGUGGUUAUAUUAUCACAGCUGGCUACACGGUCAUAUUUUUCGGGCUACACAAUCCAAAUAUCCUGGCUAGAAAACAGAAAAAUAAAACUUAAACUUGAGGCCCUCAGUGCUCUCAUGAAUAAAAUGUCCUCCAGUCUGUCGUAGAUGAUAUAUCAGAGAUAAGAGAUACGAGAAUUCACAGGAAAGUAGGAAACCGGAAUGGGAGCUUUGCUUUUCGACUUGUGGUUUGAUGAUAAACAAUUAGGCUUAUCUUUCACAUUUUCUUUAUCGUUUACUCGCGCAGAAGAUGAGGGGCUAAAACAACCCAGCAUGCCUGAGAAAAUACCCAUUUUACGUCAAAAAAACUAAGUAUGUGUACUUGUAUAGAUAGAUUGUUUUAUACCAGUAGGCAGUAGCAGUUAAGAAAGCGAGAAAGAAGAAGGCUUAUAUUUUCAACUUGGUGUUUGAGAAUCUCUCUUUUAUAGGCAUUUCGUAGCUUCACGGAAGUAUCUUCGCAUUUGGCCCAUUACGUCAUAAAUAUUAACAAUUUUGUUAAUAAAUAAUUAAAUACCUGCAUAUGUUGAAGCAAUCACAUGUUGUAUGAUGAUGAGUUGAACUUGCCAAAUAUAUAUCAACAUCCAUUGUGCAGGUCUUGUUUACGUUUCUUUUGGGCUUGGGGAGCAAGGAAUUGGACCAAGUCAAGCAACUAGAUCGAUGUGACUUGUGAGUAUGUGACAACAUUAGACUCCAUAUUUUAUACACUUUAAAGUCAAGUCUAAUAAACACGUGUAUUGACAUAGCAACCUCAAGUCUGCUCGUCGCUUCACAGUCGAUUAAAAAUAGGCUUCGACCCCUUAUUUCAAAACAAUAUCUUUUAAUAUUAUAUAUUUAACACGUGUCAAACAUUUUUCACAAAGGGGUGUUUGACCGGGUAUAAAAUUCGGGCUUCUGAGUUUACAAUUUAGAAGCACUUAUUCGUACCGUUUGUGUAAAAAGUCAAAAAGUACAUGUAAGUUGAGAAUACUAACUUUUGUUUCAUGACUUCUACUUAUUUUCCAAACACUUUAAUCACUUAUAAAUCUUAACUUGCUUUUAACUUUUAUUUCACUUUUUUACUUUAAGCGAUGAGCACUUAUUUUAAACUCAGUCAAACGGCUCCAAAAUUAACGCGCUUAUAUUCAAAGAAAAAUACUGUAAUAAGAAAGUAAUAAGAAUUGCUUAGCCAACAAAGUAAAAUAAUAUAAGAAAUUUCAAAAAUUAAUAUUGUUUAGUUAUGUUUUAAAAAUAAUUUUAUUACAAGAUAUCUUUAAAAUUGAAAAGUAAAUUUUAUACUGUUUCGAGUGUUGGUCAAUAAGGAAGGUAGAAAAAUGUAAGUUAGAGAUCACAUGAAUAUAUAUGUUACGUUGGAUUUGUGACAAGAAAAUGGUAGAUCACAUAUCAAAUGAUGUUUUCAUACGAGCGUUGAAUGGAACCAAUUUGCAAGAGAGGAAGAAUCGAUUGAAGUGAUACAUGUUAAUUGAAAACGAACAAUAACUAGUAGCUAGGGAUAACAUAUCAGUUCCGAAGAAGAAAAAGAGACAUACAAAAAUCAGGGACGAAACCAGAAAUUUGAACUGGAAUGAGCUUGACAAGUGAAUAACGAAAAAAAAUUAUACCCGCUCGUAUGUUUAUAAGGUCGGAACACCUCAUGUGCUAAGUAAGAUCUAAAAAAAUAUACUCACCGCGUGCAUUAAUGCUAGGAACCCAAAAAAAUAGAACUCCACUAAGUUAAUCAGCAUUCUCUAUUCCAUUCUCUGUUCAAUUCUCUGUAUCUACUUGAUUAUGUUAAUGGGCUGGACUUAGUUGAUAGUGGGCUUGAGUUUACUUAACACAUAAAUUACAUAAUAUAUAUAACUACUAAUUUUUUUUUUAAAAAGAAUUCCCCCGGGCUUAGGCCCAGGUAAGUCCUUGACUACAUCCGUCUCUGACAGAAACAUACAUGGACCGAUCAACUAAAUAUAGACAUGGAGAUUUUAAAUCUGUCAAGUGACAUGAUUUUAGAUACAGUUGUUUGACGAUGAUAUAUUAGAGUAAUUGAUUAGUGAUAUAUCGGGGUUAAGUUGUACUCUCUCCGUCCCAGUCAAUUAUAAAUGUUUGUUUUUCACUGACCGGCAUGUAUCUAAGACUCUUAUAAAAUAGCUCUAUAACUUAUUUUUGAAUUCAUCUUUUUAUGUAUAAAAGUAUAAAUGUUAUAAAUUUUUAUACAGAAUUUUUUUUCUCUAAAAAGUUGCAGAACUAUAUUUUAUUGAAGGAUUAAAAUCCAUGCCGCUACCCAGUCCCCCGACAUAUACUAUUGGCUUGGAGUACAUAUUCACUGCUUGCAUGUAUCUUCACUGGUGUUUGUAUAUAUAUGCUCAUAUCAUGUGUAUUUAUAUAUGCAUGGCAGUACUCACUAUAUUUUGCCAUGCACUAAAUUAAAGAAUUGAUUCUAAAACGUUGGCAUCACUUAAAGAAAAAGCGACCAUUCAUGCCGUUGGAAAGUAACAUUUUUGUUAUGGCAUCACUUAAAGAAAAAGCGACCAUUCAUGCCGUGGGAAAGUAACAUUUUUGUUACAAUAUUGACUUCAUUUUUGAUCAUAUAUAUCAUCUGGUUGAUUUAUAUCGGUUAAUAUGAGCUCUGUAGUGAUCAAAUAGGUAACAGAUUACAACACACUGGCAAUAAUCAGUAUGAUGAUUACAAUCGGAGACAAGUGACGAGAGAAUCAAUCAGUAUGAGCAUUCAGAAAAAAUAUUUAUAUUAUUAUGACAUGUUUAACACUAAGUUCACCCAAACACCUAUUCCCUCUGUCCCAUUUCAUUCUAUAAGUUUCUUUUUUACCGUCCGACACGCACUUCAAUACUCUUAUAAAAAUAUAACAUUCAAACUUUUAUUUAAAAAAGAAAAAUCUUAAAAAUAAAUUAUAGAACUAUACUUUACAGGAGCAUUAAAGUCCGUGUCGCGUCCCGUCCUCCAAUGUAUAUAACUCAGGGGGACGGGAGGAGUACUAUAUAGUAUAUGAAUCACAAAUAAGAGAGACGAGAAUUAAUAGGAAAAUAUGAAACUGGAAUGGGAGCUUUGCUUCCACUUGAUUUGCUUUCCGGCUUGUGGUUGGAUGAAGAAGAAGACUCCUCCUCUUUUACAUUUUCUUUAUCGUUUACUCGGGAAGAGAAUGUGGGGUUGAAACAACUCAUGAUGCCGGAAAAUAACCCCAUUUUUUGUGUGUAAUUUGAGCUAGUUGGAUUGGUUUUUGCUGUAGUGUGGCAAAAGAAACAGGUGCUAGUAGUAGUCUGAAUGUUUUCUUGUAGAGUAUUGUGUUUGAGUAAUUCUUCAUAUGGUUCAUCUGUUCCUUUUAUAGGCCUUUGGGUCCUUGAAGGAAGUCUGGUGAAAUUUGGUGAUCAAGUAAUGAAAAAUGAUACAGACACAUGACAUGCAUGUACCCAAUAAGCGAAACAUCCCCAUCAAAACCAGCUGUUCCCGAUUCAAUUUCUCUGUGUUGGACGUGGUGAGCAAGUAAAUG